ACUCCUACGGGAGGCAGCAGUGGGAAUAUUGCACAAUGGGGAAAGCCAUCGAUGCAGCCAUGCCGCGCUGUGUGAAGAAGGCCAAUUCGGGCUUGGUAAAGACACUUUUCAGCGAGGAGGAAAGGGUGUGUGCUAAUACCAUACAUCUGUGACGUUACUCGCAGAAGAAGCACCGGCUAACUCCGUGCCAGCAGCCGCGGUAAUACGGAGGGUGCGAGCGUUAAUCGGAAUUACUGGGCGUAAAGCGUGCGCAGGCGGUUUGUUAAGCGAGAUGUGAAAG
rnacentral:rRNA from 1 species